rnacentral:rRNA from 1 species
AGCUUGCUCUUAUGAAGUUAGCGGCGGACGGGUGAGUAACACGUGGGUAACCUACCCAUAAGACUGGGAUAACUCCGGGAAACCGGGGCUAAUACCGGAUAUGACGCCAACCCGCAUGGGUAUGGUGUGGAAAGUUUUUCGGUGGAGGAUGGACUCGCGGCCUAUCAGCUUGUUGGUGAGGUAAUGGCUCACCAAGGCGACGACGGGUAGCCUGCCUGAGAGGGCGACCGGCCACACUGGGACUGAGACACGGCCCAGACUCCUACGGGAGGCAGCAGUGGGGAAUAUUGCACAAUGGGCGAAAGCCUGAUGCAGCGACGCCGCGUGAAGGAUUAAGGCCUUCGGG